rnacentral:rRNA from 1 species
UAGUGACAAGAAAUAACAAUACAGGACUUUUUGGUUUUGUAAUUGGAAUGAGUUAAGUAUAAACCCCUUUACAAGUAUCAAUUGGAGGGCAAGUCUGGUGCCAGCAGCCGCGGUAAUUCCAGCUCCAAUAGCGUAUAUUAAAGUUGUUGCAGUUAAAAAGCUCGUAGUUGGAUUUCUGUUAAUAAUUUAUAUAAAAUAUUUUGAUGAAUAUUUAUAUAAUAUUAACAUAAUUCAUAUUACUAUAUAUUUUAGUAUAUGAAAUUUUACUUUGAGAAAAUUAGAGUGCUUAAAGCAGGC